rnacentral:tRNA from 7 species
GGGCCCGUCGUCUAGCCUGGUUAGGACGCCGCCCUUACACGGCGGAGGUCCGGGGUUCAAAUCCCCGCGGGCCCACCA